rnacentral:piRNA from 1 species
UGCUUGGAAAGAGUGACUUUGUGG